rnacentral:rRNA from 1 species
UGCAGUCGAACGAUGAACCACUUCGGUGGGGAUUAGUGGCGAACGGGUGAGUAACACGUGGGCAAUCUGCCCUGCACUCUGGGACAAGCCCUGGAAACGGGGUCUAAUACCGGAUACUGACCCUCACGGGCAUCUGUGAGGUUCGAAAGCUCCGGCGGUGCAGGAUGAGCCCGCGGCCUAUCAGCUUGUUGGUGAGGUAAUGGCUCACCAAGGCGACGACGGGUAGCCGGCCUGAGAGGGCGACCGGCCACACUGGGACUGAGACACGGCCCAGACUCCUACGGGAGGCAGCAGUGGGGAAUAUUGCACAAUGGGCGAAAGCCUGAUGCAGCGACGCCGCGUGAGGGAUGACGGCCUUCGGGUUGUAAACCUCUUUCAGCAGGGAAGAAGCGAAAGUGACGGUACCUGCAGAAGAAGCGCCGGCUAACUACGUGCCAGCAGCCGCGGUAAUACGUAGGGCGCGAGCGUUGUCCGGAAUUAUUGGGCGUAAAGAGCUCGUAGGCGGCUUGUCACGUCGGUUGUGAAAGCCCGGGGCUUAACCCCGGGUCUGCAGUCGAUACGGGCAGGCUAGAGUUCGGUAGGGGAGAUCGGAAUUCCUGGUGUAGCGGUGAAAUGCGCAGAUAUCAGGAGGAACACCGGUGGCGAAGGCGGAUCUCUGGGCCGAUACUGACGCUGAGGAGCG